UACAGAGGUCCCGAGCGUUGUUCGGAUUCAUUGGGCGUAAAGGGUGCGUAGGCGGCGCGGUAAGUCGGGUGUGAAAUCUUGGAGCUUAACUCCGAAACUGCAUUCGAUACUGCCGUGCUUUGAGGACUGGAGAGGAGACUGGAAUUUACGGUGUAGCGGUGAAAUGCGUAGAUAUCGUAAGGAAGACCAGUGGCGAAGGCGGGUCUCUGGACAGUUCCUGACGCUGAGGCACGAAGGCCAGGGGAGCAAACGGG
rnacentral:rRNA from 1 species